UACGUAGGGUGCAAGCGUUGUCCGGAAUUAUUGGGCGUAAAGAGCUCGUAGGCGGUUUGUCGCGUCGGCUGUGAAAACUCGGGGCUCAACCCCGAGCCUGCAGUCGAUACGGGCAGACUAGGGUGCGGUAGGGGAGACUGGAAUUCCUGGUGUAGCGGUGAAAUGCGCAGAUAUCAGGAGGAACACCGGUGGCGAAGGCGGGUCUCUGGGCCGUAACUGACGCUGAGGAGCGAAAGCGUGGGGAGCAAACAGG
rnacentral:rRNA from 1 species